AAGGCAGCAGUGGGGAAUAUUGCACAAUGGGCGCAAGCCUGAUGCAGCCAUGCCGCGUGUAUGAAAAAGGCCUUCGGGUUGUAAAGUACUUUCAGUCGUGAGGAAGGUGUUAAGGUUAAUAACCUUAGCAAUUGACGUUAGCGACAGAAGAAGCACCGGCUAACUCCGUGCCAGCAGCCGCGGUAAUACGGAGGGUGCGAGCGUUAAUCGGAAUUACUGGGCGUAAAGGGCACGCAGGCGGUUAAUUAAGUUGGAUGUGAAAUCCCCGGGCUUAACCUGGGAAUGGCAUUCAAGCUGGUUAGCUAGAGUCUUGUAGAGGGGGUAGAAUUCCAUGUGUAGCGGUGAAAUGCGUAGAGAUGUGGAGGAAUACCGGUGGCGAAGGCGGCCCCUGGACAAAGACUGACGCUCAUGUGCGAAAGCGUGGGGAGCAAACAGGGAUUAGAUACC
rnacentral:rRNA from 1 species